rnacentral:rRNA from 1 species
UGCGUAGGCGGCUUGGCAGGUUGGGUGUGAAAGCCCUCGGCUCAACCGAGGAAUUGCGCCCAAAACCGCUAGGCUUGAGGGAGAUAGAGGUGAGCGGAACUAAUGGUGGAGCGGUGAAAUGCGUUGAUAUCAUUAGGAACACCGGUGGCGAAAGCGGCUCACUGGGUCUCUUCUGACGCUGAGGCACGAAAGCUAGGGGAGCGAACAGGAUUAGAUACCCUGGUAGUCC